CUCCGUACUUGUAGAACGCGUCUGCGUCGAUGACGUAUGUCACGCAAAGUCGUUCAAUUCUCACAUUAGCGAGCUUUAUCAUUGUUUAGAGGGAAAAUAUGCAUUUCCUAAUAAGAUAGUCGUUAUUCAAAUGUUCCUACUUUGAACCAGUUGGUUUCGUCUUUCACAAAUUGACAUUUGGACGACAAUGACCGAUUUGGCAGACUCCCUGAGCAAAGAGGGCUGGUACCUCACAGAUGAAGGCAUCGCAGAGCUGAAAGGAUCUGCAGAGAAAGUCACACAUAAUGACAUUAUUCGUAUUGCACUUGACAGUGACCUCAGGCCUAUUGGGGGGAAAUUUCUACCGCCUGAUAUAAAUAGUGGAAGGACUGAAAAGUUGGAGGGACCAUGUGUUCUCCAAGUGCAGAAGGUGAGGAACAUCUCAGCUCCUAAAGACCACGAGGAGUCCCAGGGUGCGCCGCGAAUGCUGCGACUACAGAUGACAGAUGGGCACACCACCUGUGUUGGAUUGGAGUUUAAACACCUGUCCAAAAUCAGUCUUAAUACUCCCCCUGGAACAAAGGUGAAACUCCUCGGUACAGUCCAGGUUAAAAAUGGUCUUCUGCUGCUCGAUGACUCAAAAAUCUCGGUCCUUGGAGGCGAGGUUGAUCACAUGGUGGAGAAAUGGGAGCUACAAAGGAGUCUGGCCAAACACAGCAGGAGUAACAUUGGAGCAGAAGGUGGACCUCCUCCCUUUGUGCCAUUUGGUCAGAAGUGUGCAAGGAGGGAUGAAGUAGACAGCAGAGAUCUCGACCAGAGGAAGACCCUGCAGACUCACAAUGUGAUCAAAAGUCCUGACGAGAAUGAUGAGUUUGAGAAGCAGCGGACUGCAGCUAUUGCUGAAGUGGCCAAGACCAAAGAGGGUCCCCGCACGUUCGGCGGUGGAGGAAAUGCAGGGAGUAAUUUAUCCAACACUGCUUCUUCCUCCCGGAGCCGAGACUCGUACCAGCAGAGGAGGCGAGAAGACAGGGCCGACAGGACCGACAGACCAGAAAGCAGACAAGAUGGAAACUAUCGAGAGCUGGUGGACGAACGUGCCCUGAGAGACAUCAUGGAGAUGGGCUUCAACAAAGAGGCGGCUCGGCAGGCCCUCAUGGACAACAACAACAACCUUGAAGUGGCGCUAAACAGCCUGUUGACUGGUGCCUGUUCUGGUAGCAGACCUGGUCCUGUGUUAGCUGAAUCCAACAGGCCUCCACCCAGAGCCAGAGGACGGGGGAGAGGCAGGUCCAGGAAUGAAGACGAGGAGGAGGGAGCAGGGGGAAGGCCAUCUGGACCAAGCACUCUUUUUGACUUCCUGGAAUCUAAGAUGGGCGUUUUCUCGAUCGAUGAGCCAAAGAGCCAGGCCCCUCAGCGGCACAAUGACAGCAAAGCAAACUUCUCCAACUCGGACUUCUACUCCAAAGACACAUCUCACAACAAGUACUCAUCUCAUAAUGACCAUCGGCAACAAAGGAACGACAGACCACCUCGCUUCCACAGGGACACCGAUUUCCCCAAACCCGGCCAGGAGCCUCUCUCCAACUCUCCAACCCCCCAAACAUCAGCGCAGGGCCAGCACUGGAAGAGCCAGGAGCGAUGGUCGCGAGGCGCACCAGACAGAUCGCAGGGAGACAGGAGGGACAUGCGGGAUGAGCAGAAUUUUCCCUCAUCCUUCCCGACUACUUUUACACGUUCGAAAGAACCUCAGCAGCUGAUGGAUAUAGGUGGAUCUUUCCACCAGCGAUCCAGGAACGGAGACGGUGGUGGUGGUGGUGGUGGUGGUGGUGGUGGUGGUGGUAGUAGUGGUGGUAGUGGUGGUGGUGGGGGUGGUGGUGGUGGGGGUGGGAACACGACUGGGCCAUCUCACAGGAGAGGGCCGAAAGAUAACGCGCCCACGUCUAAGCUUAAUAACUCUUCAGGGGGUGAACCAGACGGAAGAGGAAACAACAAACGCACUGACAGAAUUGAAGAAUCCAACAACAGCAGAAGGUCGGGGAAAGGUGAGCGGCCAAACUCGGGUUACUUUGACCGACAGAGGGAUGGUGGACCGCCAAACUUUAACUACAGGGGUGGGGGCUCAGGUUCACCCCAAGAAAUGGGGUCAUCGCAGGACUCUCGGAUCAUGACGGGGGAUCCUAGUCAUUUCCAAAACGGAGAUGUGGAACACAAAAGAACUGGACCGAUCAAGCCUGCAAACUCAUCGGGUCCCCCUCACAGGGAGCAGCAGCCGAAGAAGAACAUGUACAAUAACCCCGGACCUAAACGGAGGUCUGGACAGGGCAGGGGUCAGGGACCUCGAGGACCAGAGAAAGGCCAUUACAUGGAACGAGCUUGGAAACCCGGAGACCAGUGCCUGGCUCUGUACUGGGAAGACAGCAAGUUCUACCAUGCCAGAAUAGAUGCUGUGCAUUCAUCAGGCUCCACGGCUGUGGUUGUAUUCAGCGAUUAUGGGAACUGUGAAGAAGUUCUACUGCAUAACAUCAAACCUAUCCCAGCUGAUGUUAUGUAACAUCACAACCAUAUCAAAUGUACAAUGGCAGGAGGAAGAUGAUGGGUACUACGACAGUUCAUUAGAGUUUCGUCGCGGGGGAGACGGACAGCCGAGACGCUCAAGACCAACACAGCAGUAUUACCAGCCUCCCAGGGCGAGGGAUUGAUGUGUGUUUGUUUACAGUGUUCUUGGCUCCCCCUUUCUCCCGUGACAGAGAUUUCUUCGUCGUCUGCAACAAUCCAGAGUGCUUCCCGAACUUCUCAGUGUCCACUUUGUCAGGACACAGCAGAAGUUUUCAAAGGGCUUGGACAUGAUGCAAAAUUAAAAAGAAAAAACUGACAUGAGCACCUGUGGAUUUUGUUAAGAACAUAUCGACUGUAUAUGUUGUGAAGAUUUGUUUAAAAUGAAUGCAUAAAAAUAAACAAUUAUAGUAUGUAGCCCACUU